GGCUAACGCUGGCGGCGUGUCUUAGCCAUGCAAGUCGAGCGGACUUAUGGGGUAACUUAUAAGUCAGCGGCGGACGGCGGAGUAACACGUAGCUAACCUACCCUCUGGACGGGGAUAACCUACCGAAAGGUGGGCUAAUACCCGAUGUAGUCAUCCUGUAUAAGGGUGAUGAAAGGUGGGCUUCUGUUUACAAGCUCAUGCUGGAGGAGGGGGCUGCGGCCUAUCAGGUAGUUGGUAGGGUAAUAGCCUACCAAGCCGAUGACGGGUAGCCGGCCUGAGAGGGUGACCGGCCCGAGGGGCACUGAGAUACGGGUCCCACUCCUACGGGAGGCAGCAGGCUAGAAAUUUGGGCAAUGGGGGAAACCCUGACCCAGUGACGCCGCGUGCAGGAAGGAGCCCUUCGGGGUGUAAACUGCUGUCGUGUAGGGAGAAGGGUACUAAGGUGAACAAUCUUAGUACUUGACGGUACUACAGGAGGAAGCCCAGGCUAACCUCGUG
rnacentral:rRNA from 1 species